rnacentral:rRNA from 1 species
UACGGAGGGUGCGAGCGUUGUCCGGAAUCACUGGGCGUAAAGGGCUGCGGUAGGCGGCCUGAUAAGUAGGGGGUGAAAUCCUGCGGCUUAACCGCAGGGCUGACCUUUCUAAACUGUCAGGCUAGAGCACGGUAGAGGCAGAUGGAAUUCCCGGUGUAGGCGGAUGGAAUGCGUAGAGAUCGGGAAGAACAUCAGUGGCGAAGGCGGUCUGCUGGGCCGUUGCUGACGCUGAGGCGCGACAGCGUGGGGAGCAAACAGGA